UACGAAGGGGGCUAGCGUUGCUCGGAAUCACUGGGCGUAAAGCGCACGUAGGCGGAUUGCUAAGUCAGGGGUGAAAUCCUGGAGCUCAACUCCAGAACUGCCUUUGAUACUGGCAAUCUCGAGUCCGGGAGAGGUGAGUGGAACUGCGAGUGUAGAGGUGAAAUUCGUAGAUAUUCGCAAGAACACCAGUGGCGAAGGCGGCCCACUGGCCCGGUACUGACGCUGAGGUGCGAAAGCGUGGGGAGCAAACAGG
rnacentral:rRNA from 1 species